GUUUGAUCCGGGCUCAGGAUGAACGCUGGCGGCGUGCCUAACACAUGCAAGUCGAACGAAGCAAUUAGAAAGAAGUUUUCGGAUGGAUUUCUGGUUGACUGAGUGGCGGACGGGUGAGUAACGCGUGGAUAACCUGCCUCACACUGGGGGAUAACAGUUAGAAAUGGCUGCUAAUACCGCAUAAGCGCACAGUACCGCAUGGUACGGUGUGAAAAACUCCGGUGGUAUGAGAUGGACCCGCGUCUGAUUAGCUAGUUGGAGGGGUAACGGCCCACCAAGGCGACGAUCAGUAGCCGGCCUGAGAGGGUGAACGGCCACAUUGGGACUGAGACACGGCCCAGACUCCUACGGGAGGCAGCAGUGGGGAAUAUUGCACAAUGGGGGAAACCCUGAUGCAGCGACGCCGCGUGAAGGAAGAAGUAUCUCGGUAUGUAAACUUCUAUCAGCAGGGAAGAAAAUGACGGUACCUGACUAAGAAGCCCCGGCUAACUACGUGCCAGCAGCCGCGGUAAUACGUAGGUGGCAAGCGUUAUCCGGAUUUACUGGGUGUAAAGGGCGUGUAGGCGGGAUUGCAAGUCAGAUGUGAAAACUGGGGGCUCAACCUCCAGCCUGCAUUUGAAACUGUAGU
rnacentral:rRNA from 1 species